AUUGAACGCUGGCGGCAUGCUUUACACAUGCAAGUCGAACGGCAGCACGGACUUCGGUCUGGUGGCGAGUGGCGAACGGGCGAGUAAUACAUCGGAACGUACCCAGUAAUGGGGGAUAACUAUCCGAAAGGAUAGCUAAUACCGCAUACGCCCUACGGGGGAAAGAGGGGGAUCGCAAGACCUCUUGUUACUGUAGCGGCCGGGGGCUGAUUAGCAAGUUGGUAGGGUAAAGGCCUACCAAGGCAACGAUCAGUAGCGGGUCUUAGAGGACGAUCCGCCACACUGGAACUGAGACACGGUCCAGACUCCUACGGGAGGCAGCAGUGGGGAAUCUUGGACAAUGGGCGCAAGCCUGAUCCAGCAAUGCCGCGUGCGUGAAGAAGGCCUUCGGGUUGUAAAUCGCUUUUGUCAGGGAGCAAAUCCUUGUGGCUAAUACCCACCGGGGAUGAGAGUACCUGAAGAAUAAGGACCGGCUAACUACGUGCCAGCCGCCGCCGUAAGAC
rnacentral:rRNA from 1 species